AGGACGAACGCUGGCGGCGUGCUUAACACAUGCAAGUCGAGCGGUAAGGCCUUUCGGGGUACACGAGCGGCGAACGGGUGAGUAACACGUGGGUGAUCUGCCCUGCACUUCGGGAUAAGCCUGGGAAACUGGGUCUAAUACCGGAUAUGACCUCCUAUCGCAUGGUGGGUGGUGGAAAGAUUUAUCGGUGCAGGAUGGGCCCGCGGCCUAUCAGCUUGUUGGUGGGGUAAUGGCCUACCAAGGCGACGACGGGUAGCCGACCUGAGAGGGUGACCGGCCACACUGGGACUGAGACACGGCCCAGACU
rnacentral:rRNA from 1 species